GCGGGGAAUCUUGCGCAAUGGGCGAAAGCCUGACGCAGCGACGCCGCGUGGGGGAAGAAGGCCUUCGGGUUGUAAACCCCUUUUGCCAGGGAAGAGGAAGGACGGUACCUGGCGAAAAAGCCCCGGCUAACUACGUGCCAGCAGCCGCGGUAAGACGUAGGGGGCAAGCGUUACCCGGAUUUACUGGGCGUAAAGAGCGCGUAGGCGGUCUGGUACGUCCCUGGUGCAAGCUCCUGGCUUAACUAGGAGAGGUCCAGGGAUACGGCCCGGCUGGAGGGCAGUAGAGGUGAGCGGAAUUCCUGGUGUAGCGGUGAUAUGCGUAGAGAUCAGGAGGAACACCAGAGGCGAAAGCGGCUCACUGGGCUGUCCCUGACGCUGAGGCGCGAGAGCGUGGGGAGCAAACCGG
rnacentral:rRNA from 1 species